UUUUUUCUUUUUUUCUUUUUAUUUUUCUGAAAAGAAUACAAGAUUUUUCACUAUGGUGUUGAAUUUCCUUCUCUCUUGUAUUAUUAUUUUUUUAUUUAGGUUUAUAUUUUUUUCCUUAUUUGUUGUUGGUCUUUCUCUAUAUAAGAAGACCUUGUAUUUGGUUCAAUAAUGUAGAGGAAUAAUAUUACAUUAUUUUUUACUUCCCAUUUUCAAGUUGUAUCCGAGCAGAAAUAACAUGGAAACCCUAAAAACCGUAAUUUUCUUAAAAACAAAAAGACCCUAGUUCUGCUGCUGCCAUUGUCCUCCAUCGUCGUCACCGGCCCUUCAGAGUUUUCCGGUGAGUAUGACGGUAGGUGAUAGACCCCUAUCAUCCACCAAUAUACUAGACGAGGGAAGAAGAAUUAGGUAGGCACGUGUGAGUAUUAGUGUAGGCACAUGCGAGUUUGUUAAGGUAAGUAGUUAGGAUAUAUUUUAUAAAUAGGUUUGGAUUAUUGGAAGGAGGGGUAGUUAGAUUUUGAGAAUUGAGUCAGGAAUCUGUGCACCUUUGAGAGAGAAGGUAAUAGAGAGAUUGUAACCGAAUUGAGAUUUUUCAAUUUGUUUCUUUAUUAUUUUAUUUUGUUCUUGCAUUCGAUUCUUUCAUUUAUCAAUAAAGUUCCGUUGAUAGAACACAACCUUAGUGUUCCUAAGAGAUAUAGGAGAUUAGUUGGGAAGUUGAACUACUUAACAGUGACUCGACCAGACGUUGCUUAUUCUGUAAGUGUUGUAAGUCAAUUCAUGUCUUCCCCUACGGUGGAUCAUUGGCUGUAGUAGAGCAAAUUUUGUGUUAUCUGAAAGCUGAUCCUGGACGUGAGAUCUUAUAUAGAGAUCAUGGACAUGCGAAAGUUGAAUCUUUAUCUGAUGCUGAUUGGGCAGGAUCUCGUGAGGAUAGAGGAUAGGAGAUUAACUUCUGGAUGUUGUGUCUUUGUAGGUGGAAACUUAGUAUCAUAGAAGAGUAAGAAAUAAAAUGUUGUUUCUCAUUCGAGUGUUGAGUUUGAAUAUAGAACGAUGGCAUAAUCUGUGUGCGAAAUAGUAUGGAUUCACCAACUAUUAUCUGAGAUAAGCUUCAAUAUUACAGUGCCAGCUAAAUUACGGUGUGAUAAUCAAGUUGCACUUCACAUUGCAUCUAAUCCAGUAUUUCAUGAACGAACUAAACAUAUUGAGGUGGAUUGUCACUUCAUUCGUGAGAAAAUCCAAGAUGGAUUGGUGUCCACAAGAUAUGUAAAGACUGGAGAACAAUUGGAAGAUAUUCUGACUACAGCUUUAAAUGGAGCAAGGAUAAGCUAUAUGUGCAACAAGCUGGGCAUGAUUGACAUAUUUGCUCCAGCUUGAGGGGGAGUGUUAUGAUAUAUAUUUAUAACAUGUGUCCUUUAUUGUAAUUGUACAGUGUCUAGAGUCUAUUUUGUUCUCUAUAUGAAUAUGUAACUUUUCUUUGACUAAAGAUGUAUAAGAAAUAUAUUUCUCUGAAUUCUAGAUUACAAGGGGAAUUUUUGUCGAUCAACCGGAUUAGCCCAGAUGAUGCAAUUAUCUUAGUUGGUGGAGAACUAGGAGAUCAUCCGUGGGGAAGCCAACCUUAAAGGAUAUGCUGGAGGUAAAUAUCUAACUUCUUUAUCCAAUAAUGCUAAAUCUGGAGGGAGAUCCAAUUCAAUGGAUAAUAAAAGCAACUCUACAAUUCCCAUGAGAACUAUCACCUUAAGAGGGGUAGUUGGUGGGGAAGCUAAGUAGGAGGAGCCUACUAAGAGGUUAUCUGACGCAGAGUUUCGAGCUCGAAAGGAGAAAGACUUUGUUUUCGAUGUAACGAAAAGUACUCCCAUGACCAUAAAUGUAAGAUGAGGUAGCAAAGAGAGCUUAGAAUGUAUGUUGUCAUGGAGGGAAAGGAGGAAUUUGAGAUUGUAGAGGAUGUGGAGAAUGAGGAGAAAGAAUUGAAAAUGGUGAGGAUAAAUGAGGAAGACCAAGCCAUUAUAGAAUUAUCCAUUAAUUCUGUGGUAGGAUUAUCGAACCCGGGUACUAUGAAGGUGAGAGGGGAGAUCGAAGGCAAGGAAGUGGUGAUCUUAGUAGAUUGUGGGGCUACACAACUUUAUCUCUGAAAAGUUGGUGAAGAGUUUACAGAUACCGACAAAAGACACUUCUCAUUAUGAAGAAGGAUGGGAGUUGGCACUUCUGUAUGGACUACCGAGCGUUGAAUAACGUUAGACAAAUUUUCAAUACCAGUAAUUGAGGAGCUCUUUGAUGAAUUAAAUGGGGCUACAUGGUUUUCUAAGAUUGAUUUGAAAGCCAGAUACCACUAAAUUCGUAUAUGUGGGAAAGACAUUGAGAAGACAGCAUUUAGAACGCAUGAAGGCCAUUAUGAGUUCAUGGUUAUGUCAUUCAGCUUAACUAAUGCACCUUCUACAUUUGAGUCACUGAUGAAUUCUAUAUUCAGGCCAUAUUUGAGAAAAUUUGUUCUGGUAUUCUUUAAUGACAUCCUUAUUUACGGCAAGGAUUUUGAAGAACAUGUAUCACAUUUGGGGAAGGCUUUAGAAGUGUUGUGGAAGAAUGAGCUUUAUGCGAACCAGAAGAAAUGCAGUUUUGCACAGACACGUGUAGAUUACUUGGGGCACAUCAUCUCGGGCCAAGGAGUUAAGGUUGAUCCGAAAAAGAUUAGAGCAAUCAAGGAAUGGCCUAUACCUAAGAAUGUUCAAGAGGUCCGAGGCUUCUUGGGAUUGACAGGGUACUAAAAAAAAUUUGUCCAACACUACGAGUCUAUCGCCGCACCUCUAACUCAGUUACUUAAGAAUGGUGGAUUUAGGCACCUCUAACUCAGUUACUUAAGAAUGGUGGAUUUAGGUAGAACGAGGACUGAAGCAUUCUAGAAGUUGCAAAAUGCUAUGAUGGCUCUUCCUGUUUUAGCUUUGCUUGAUUUCGAUGCCCUAUUUGAAAUGGGGACUCAUGCAUCCGGUUAUGGCAUAGGAGCAGUGCUCAUUCAAUCCAAAUUCCCUAUUGCUUUCUUCAGCCACACAUUGGCUAUGAGGGAUCGGGUUAAACUAGUGUAUGAAAGAGAGCUUAUGGCAGUUGUCCUAGUCGUGCAAAGAUGGAGACUGUAUUUGCUAGGGAGAAAGUUUAUAGUAAAGAUGGAUCAGCGUUCCCUAAAGUUCUUAUUGGAACAGAGGGCUAUUCAGCCACAAUACCAAAAGUGGAUUGCUAAGCUUUUGAGAUAUUCCUUUAAAGUGGUAUACAAGCCAGGAUUGGAGAAUAAGACAGCAGAUGCUCUAUCCAUAAUGCCUCUGGUUGCCCAUCUUUGUAAUAUUACAGCCCCCACCUUGAUUGAUUUGAAGACCAUCAAGGAAGAAGUUGAAAACGAUGAACGACUGAAACUGAUAAUCAAAGAAACGGUAGGAGGAGAGGAUGGCAAGGCAAACAAGUAUUCCAUUCGGCAGGGGAUCUUGAGGUAUAAAGGUAGGCUGGUUAUUUCCAAGUCAUCGACAUUGAUUCCAACAAUUCUCCACACCUACCAUGACUCCGUUUUUGGGGGACAUUCCGAGUUCCUUAGAACUUAUAAACGAUUGGCUUGUGAGUUGUAUUGGGAGGGUAUGAAACUCGAUGUGCAGAAAUAUUGAGAAGAGUGUCUGAUCUAUCAGAAAAAUAAAGCAAUGGCAUUGUCACCUGUAGGGUUGUUGUUACCUUUAAAAAUACCUAAUGGUGUGUGGAGCGACAUUUCUAUGGAUUUCGUGGAGGGACUAUGAAUAAGAGGUGAUUUCCGUGGUGGUGGAUAGAUUUAGCAAGUACGGACAUUAUCUACCCUUGAAACAUCCCUAUACCGCCAAGUCCGCGGCUGAUCUGUUUGUAAAGGAAGUUGUCAAACUACAUGGAUAUCCUAAAUCCAUAGUGUCAGACCGAGAUAAGGUUUUCUUGAGUGGUUUUUGGAAGGAGCUGUUUAGGUUGGCUGGUACUCAGUUGAAUCGUAGUUCAGCCUAUCACCUCAAUCAGACGGCAAAACUGAAGUGCUCAAUAGAGGAAUGGAGACAUACCUUCACUGUUUUUGUGGAGAGCAGCCGGAUGAGUGGAUAAAGUGGGUGCAUUGGGCGGAGUACUGGUGUAACACCACGUACCAGAGAUCCUUAGGGGUAACAUACUUUCAAGAUGUCUACGGGUGUUUACCUCCGCCCUUGGUGUAUUAUGGUGAUCAAGACACCCCAUAUUCAGCUUUAGAUGAGCAGCUCAAGGAAAGGGAUAUUAUGUUAGGAGCAUUGAACGAACACUUGCGGAUAGCCCAAGAGAAGAUGAAGAAAAACACUAACCUAAAGAGGAGAUGUGGAAUACAUGGUAGGAGAUUUGGUCUUUCUUAAAAUUCUACCAUAUAGGCAGGUUUCUUUUCGGAAAAGAAGAAAUGAGAAGUUGUCAUCAAAGUUUUUUAGUCCUUAUAAGAUCAUAGAACGGAUUGGCCCUGUUGCAUACAAGUUAGAACUACCAAAGAUAACAUCCAUUCAUCCUGUUUUUCAUGUUCCCCAAUUGAAGAUGCUGGGAAAUCAUCAAGUUGAGCCGACAGAUAUGCCCUAUAUGACUGAGACUUACGAAUGGCGUGCAGUGCCGGAUGAAACCUAUGGCUACUUGAAAAAUAAGAGUGGAGGAUGGGACGUGCUGAUCAGUUGGAAGGGCUUACCUAGACACAAGGCUACAUGGGAAGACUAUGAAAAAAUGCAGCGAUUGUUUCUAGAAUUUCACCUUGAGGACAAGGUGAAUUUGGAGAAGGAAUGUAACGAUAGACCCCCUAUCAUCCACCAAUAUACUAGACGAGGGAAGAAGAAUUAGGUAGGCACGUGUGAGUAUUAGUGUAGGCAUGUGUGAAUGUGUGAGUUUGUUAGGGUAGGUAGUUAGGAUAUAUUUUAUAGAUAGGUUUGAAUUAUUGGAGGGAGGGGUAGUUAGAUUUUGAGAAUUGAAUCUGGAAUCUGUGCACCUUUGAGAGAGAAGGUAAAAGAGAUAUUGUAACCGAAUUGAGAUUUCUCAAUUCGUUUCUUUAUUAUUUUAUU
rnacentral:lncRNA from 1 species